rnacentral:rRNA from 1 species
GACGAACGCUGGCGGCGUGCUUAACACAUGCAAGUCGAACGGAAAGGCCCUGCUUUUGUGGGGUGCUCGAGUGGCGAACGGGUGAGUAACACGUGAGUAACCUGCCCUUGACUUUGGGAUAGCUUCAGGAAACUGGGGCUAAUACCGGAUAGGAGCUCCUGCUGCAUGGUGGGGGUUGGAAAGUUUCGGCGGUUGGGGAUGGACUCGCGGCUUAUCAGCUUGUUGGUGGGGUAGUGGCUUACCAAGGCUUUGACGGGUAGCCGGCCUGAGAGGGUGACCGGCCACAUUGGGACUGAGAUACGGCCCAGACUCCUACGGGAGGCAGCAGUGGGGAAUAUUGCACAAUGGGCGGAAGCCUGAUGCAGCAACGCCGCGUGCGGGAUGACGGCCUUCGGGUUGUAAACCGCUUUCGCCUGUGACGAAGCGUGAGUGACGGUAAUGGGUAAAGAAGCACCGGCUAACUACGUGCCAGCAGCCCCGGUGAUACGUAGGGUGCGAGCGUUGUCCGGAUUUAUUGGGCGUAAAGGGCUCGUAGGUGGUUGAUCGCGUCGGAAGUGUAAUCUUGGGGCUUAACCCUGAGCGUGCUUUCGAUACGGGUUGACUUGAGGAAGGUAGGGGAGAAUGGAAUUCCUGGUGGAGCGGUGGAAUGCGCAGAUAUCAGGAGGAACACCAGUGGCGAAGGCGGUUCUCUGGGCCUUUCCUGACGCUGAGGAGCGAAAGCGUGGGGAGCGAACAGGCUUAGAUACCCUGGUAGUCCACGCUGUAAACGGUGGGUACUAGGUGUGGGGUCCAUUCCACGGGUUCCGUGCCGUAGCUAACGCUUUAAGUACCCCGCCUGGGGAGUACGGCCGCAAGGCUGAAACUCAAAGGAAUUGACGGGGCCCCGCACAAGCGGCGGAGCAUGCGGAUUAAUUCGAUGCAACGCGUAGAACCUUACCUGGGUUUGACAUGGAUCGGGAGUGCUCAGAGAUGGGUGUGCCUCUUUUGGGGUCGGUUCACAGGUGGUGCAUGGCUGUCGUCAGCUCGUGUCGUGAGAUGUUGGGUUAAGUCCCGCAACGAGCGCAACCCUUGUUCACUGUUGCCAGCACGUUAUGGUGGGGACUCAGUGGAGACCGCCGGGGUCAACUCGGAGGAAGGUGGGGAUGACGUCAAGUCAUCAUGCCCCUUAUGUCCAGGGCUUCACGCAUGCUACAAUGGCUGGUACAGAGAGUGGCGAGCCUGUGAGGGUGAGCGAAUCUCGGAAAGCCGGUCUCAGUUCGGAUUGGGGUCUGCAACUCGACCUCAUGAAGUCGGAGUCGCUAGUAAUCGCAGAUCAGCAACGCUGCGGUGAAUACGUUCCCGGG